UACAGAGGUCCCAAGCGUUGUUCGGAUUCAUUGGCGUAAAGGGUGCGUAGGCGGCGCGGUAAGUCGGGUGUGAAAUCUCGGGGCUUAAACUCCGAAACUGCAUUCGAUACUGCCGUGCUUGAGGACUGGAGAGGAGACUGGAAUUUACGGUGUAGCGGUGAAAUGCGUAGAUAUCGUAAGGAAGACCAGUGGCGAAGGCGGGU
rnacentral:rRNA from 1 species